AGCGAACGUUAGCGGCGGGCCUAACACAUGCAAGUCGAACGAGAAUGUAGGCUUCGGUCUACUAGUAAAGUGGCGGACGGGUGCGUAACACGUGGGUAAUCUACCUUCCGGCGGGGGACAACAGUCCGAAAGGAUUGCUAAUACCGCAUACGUCAGCGGUGCCUACGGGCACUGUUGGGAAAGAUGGCCUCUCCUUGGAAGCUGUCACCGGAAGAUGAGCCCGCGUACCAUCAGCUAGUUGGUGAGGUAAUGGCUCACCAAGGCUAAGACGGGUAGCUGGUCUGAGAGGAUGAUCAGCCACACUGGGACGGCGCCACGGCCCAGACUCCGACGGGAGGCAGCAGUGGGGAAUAUUGGGCAAUGGGCGAAAGCCUGACCCAGCCACGCCGCGUGAGUGAUGAAGGCCUUCGGGUCGUAAAGCUCUGUGGGGAGGGACGAACAAGUUCUGGGCUAAUCACCAGGACCCUGACGGUACCUCCUUAGCAAGCACCGGCUAACCCUGUGCCAGCAGCCGCGGUAAUAC
rnacentral:rRNA from 1 species